rnacentral:rRNA from 1 species
UACGUAGGGGGCGAGCGUUGUCCGGAGUUACUGGGCGUAAAGCGCAUGCAGGCGGUCCGCCAGGUUUGGAGUGACAGUUCCCGGCUUAACUGGGAAAGCGCUUCGAAAACCGGUGGACUUGAAGGUUUGAGAGGGACACGGAAUUCCGGGUGGAGUGGUGAAAUGCGUAGAUAUCCGGAGGAACACCAAAGGCGAAGGCAGUGUCCUGGCAAACUCUUGACGCUCAGAUGCGAAAGCCAGGGGAGCGAACGGG